AGAGUUUGAUCCUGGCUCAGGAUGAACGCUGGCGGCAUGCCUAAUACAUGCAAGUCGAACGAGAGGAAGGAGAGCUUGCUUUCCUGAAUCUAGUGGCGAACGGGUGAGUAACACGUAGGUAACCUGCCCAUGUGCCCGGGAUAACUUCUGGAAACGGAUGCUAAAACCGGAUAGGUAGCAGACAAGCAUUUGACUGCUAUUAAAGUGGCUAAGGCCAUGAACAUGGAUGGACCUGCGGUGCAUUAGCUAGUUGGUGAGGUAACGGCCCACCAAGGCGACGAUGCAUAGCCGGCCUGAGAGGGCGGACGGCCACAUUGGGACUGAGACACGGCCCAAACUCCUACGGGAGGCAGCAGUAGGGAAUUUUCGUCAAUGGGGGGAACCCUGAACGAGCAAUGCCGCGUGAGUGAGGAAGGUCUUCGGAUCGUAAAGCUCUGUUGUAAGAGAAAAACGACAUUCAUAGGGAAUGAUGAGUGAGUGAUGGUAUCUUACCAGAAAGUCACGGCUAACUACGUGCCAGCAGCCGCGGUAAUACGUAGGUGGCGAGCGUUAUCCGGAAUGAUUGGGCGUAAAGGGUGCGUAGGUGGCAGAUCAAGUCUGGAGUAAAAGGUAUGGGCUCAACCCGUACUGGCUCUGGAAACUGAUCAGCUAGAGAACAGAAGAGGACGGCGGAACUCCAUGUGUAGCGGUAAAAUGCGUAGAUAUAUGGAAGAACACCGGUGGCGAAGGCGGCCGUCUGGUCUGGAUUCUGACACUGAAGCACGAAAGCGUGGGGAGCAAAUAGGAUUAGAUACCCUAGUAGUCCACGCCGUAAACGAUGAGAACUAGGUGUUGGGGGAAUAACUCAGUGCCGCAGUUAACGCAGUAAGUUCUCCGCCUGGGGAGUAUGCACGCAAGUGUGAAACUCAAAGGAAUUGACGGGGGCCCGCACAAGCGGUGG
rnacentral:rRNA from 1 species